rnacentral:rRNA from 1 species
GGCCUGGUAAGUUGGACGUGGAAGCCCCGUGCUUAACGCGGGGAGGUCGGACAAUACUGCCAAGCUAGAGUGCGUCAGAGGGGAGUGGAAUUUCCGGAGUAGCGGUAAAAUGCGCAGAUAUCGGAAGGAACACCAGUGGCGAAAGCGACUCCCUGGGGCGCGACUGACGCUAAGAGGCGAAAGCUAGGGGAGCGAACAGGAUUAGAGACCCUGGUAGUCCUAGCCCUAAACGAUGGAUGCUAGGUGUGGGACGUAAAGUUCCGUGCCGGAGCCAACGCGAUAAGCAUCCCGCCUGGGGACUACGGUCGCAAGGCUAAAACUCAAACGAAUUGACGGGGACCCGCACAAGCAGCGGAGCGUGUGGUUCAAUUCGAUGCUACACGAAGAACCUUACCUGGGUUUGACAUGUACGUGGUAGAGAAGCGAAAGCGGAUUGACCCUUCGGGGAGCGUACACAGGUGCUGCAUGGCUGUCGUCAGCUCGUGCCGUGAGGUGUCGGGUUAAGUCCCGUAACGAGCGCAACCCUUAUCCUUAGUUGCACGUAUCUAGGGAGACUGCCGGCGGGAAGCCGGAGGAAGGUGGGGAUGACGUCAAGUCAGCAUGGCCCUUAUGUCCAGGGCUACACACACGCUACAAUGGCCGGUACAAAGGGCAGCAAAGUCGCGAGGCGGAGCGAAUCCCAACAAAGCCGGUCGUAGUUCGGAUUGCAGGCUGCAACUCGCCUGCAUGAAGCUGGAGUUGCUAGUAACCGCGCGUCAGCUAUAGUGCGGUGAAUACGUACCCGGGUCUUGUACACACCGCCCGUCACGUCAUGGAAGUCGGUAACGCCUGAAGGCGGUAGCCUAGCUCGGAAGAGGGGGCGCUGUCGAAGGCGGGACUGGCAACUGGGGCGAAGUCG